rnacentral:rRNA from 1 species
CCCUUAGAUGUUCUGGGCAGCACGCGCGCUACAAUGGUCUUCGCAAACGGAUGCAUUCUCGAAGGAGAAUGCCAAUCUUGGAAUCUAUGCCUUGGUCGGGACAGUUGCUUGCAAUUUUUCGACUCGAACCAGGAAUUCCUUGUAAUCGUGAUUCAUCACAUCACGAUGAAUACGUCCCUGCCCUUUAUACACACCGCCCGUCGCUCCUACCGAUCGAAGAGUUAGGUGAAUUGUUUUGAUCGAUAAGACUUGACUAUGGUCAACUCUCGUUGUGAAAUUCUGUGAAUCUGACUGUUUAGAGGAAGGAAAAGCCGUAACA